UGUGUGUGUGUGUGUGUGUGUGUGGGUGUGUGUGUGUGUGUGUGUGUGUGUGUGUACACAUCAGUCCUAAAAGGGACCAGAUCACAUUUACAGUGUGUAUGUGUUUGUCUUUAUGUAUGUUUCUUGUCAACUGUAUGGCUAUGUCAAUAACUCAAACAUGGAAAAGUACCACUUCAAGCACCUAAGUGUCUCUAUAUAAAUUACCAAUUUACAGUAAUCUGUUUGAAAUGGAAGCAUAAUGAUAAUCUCUAUUUUUGUCUGUAAACCGUCACUGUUUUCUGCGGUGGACUAUAUAAAGUGCUAAGCUAUUUGUGCAUUCAUAUUGUAUUUUUUAAGUUAUCACUGCUGUAACAUAAAUAUGUCAUAUUGAAUGGACUUUU